UGAGGAAUAUUGCGCAAUGGGGGAAACCCUGACGCAGCAACGCCGCGUGAGUGAUGAAGGCCUUCGGGUCGUAAAGCUCUGUCAAGUGGGAAGAAACAAUAAUAUGCUAAUAUCAUAUUGUCUUGACGGUACCACUGGAGGAAGCACCGGCUAACUCCGUGCCAGCAGCCGCGGUAAUACGGAGGGUGCAAGCGUUAUUCGGAAUCAUUGGGCGUAAAGGGCGCGUAGGCGGCUUUGUAAGUCAGAUGUGAAAGCCCGGGGCUUAACCCCGGAAGUGCAUUUGAAACUACAAGGCUUGAGUAUGGGAGAGGAGAGCGGAAUUCCUGGUGUAGAGGUGAAAUUCGUAGAUAUCAGGAGGAACACCGGUGGCGAAGGCGGCUCUCUGGACCAAUACUGACGCUGAGGCGCGAAGGCGUGGGGAUCAAACA
rnacentral:rRNA from 1 species